GGGCCAUUAGCAUAGUGGUCGUGCACUACAUUCGCAUUGUAGGAACGCCGGUUCGAUUCCGGCAUGGUCCA
rnacentral:tRNA from 1 species